AUGUUUAACAUAAUAAUAAGUUCAGCAAACGUUGACCAAACUCUACCCAAAGUUAGGCUCGGGGGCUACAGAGAUAAAUAAGAGAGGAACCCUCCUCCUUAAUUUCUCCCUUUCUACUGGAUCGCACAGACAGAGUGGUGUCGAUUCAAUGAAGGCAUUUCUGACGUAGGACAGACCCAAGACAGAGCCUCCAUGUGGCUGCCACAACUCACCCGACCGGAAGUCGUGCAGGCGAUGUUGUCACUUGCCCAAGCAUAGAAAUCACAGGACACUUCUGAUCCUGCUGUGGACACCGUGAGGAAGCCGCAGGCCUCGUCCAGUGCACAGUCUGCAAGAACCAGGGGACAGUCACCCACCUGUCUCUCAGGCGAUACAGAGGACAGACAGACACAAAUGCCUACUCCCUGCCCCUCAAACACACACACACACACACACACACACAGUAACAAUGACUACUCAUGGAGGACUGGAGGAUUAUGAGAAAAUUCUUGUAAAGAUGAAUGCUCAAUAUGUGGUAUUUGUUAUUAUUCAUCUCUGGCCUCACCCUUGAAAUAGACAGCUGCAUCUCCUGAGCUGGACUAAAUGCUCCACAAAGAACAAAUGUCCCUCAGUGCUUCUCCCUUAACAUCUGGCAGAGCCUCAUUCUUGGCAGGCAGCAGAUGCACUAUAAACUCAGAACUAAAAUUAUGAGUUAGAUGUACAUUUUGGAAAUCAGUUGAUUUACAGAGUAUUUCUGAAGAAGUAUAUUUGAUUAUGAUCUCGAAGGUUAUAUGUAACAUGUCUUGCAAGAUCAGCACCAUGUAUUCCUAUGGCACCACCCACGUGCCCGGCCCCCCAUUGCCCCUCACCUGCCAAGCACUGCAUCAGUGAGGACUCAGAACUGGGAACUUCAGACCUGACCAUCACAGCCACAUCAGCAUUGAAGAUCACCUUAGAUUCUGGAAGCUUCUCAAAUUUCCGCAUCACUGAAAUGUAAGCAUAUCCAUGAAACUUGACUCUGAAGAGUCUGGGGUCUCUGCAGAGAAGCCAAAAGGAAAUUUAGGUCAAGAAAUCACUUCCCACCCAUUGCAUUUGCUCACAUGGGUGCUGCAAAAAGACAAAUUCCCUUUGAAGGGUAGUUCCAGAAGCUACCUCAUAGCUAACACUGAGCGCUAUCACUCACCAUGUCUCCUCUUUUUCAUCUCAGUGUCUGGAAGUAAGAAUAUCUAUUAUAUGUUAAUCCUCACAACUCCCUUUUUCACAUUGAUACUGAUUUUCUACAUAAAUUUAUAUUUCCUUGUCCUUAUCUUUGAAAGCUAAUGAUAUCUCAUAAUUAUUUUAUUUAUAAUGAUACAAAUGAAAUAUCUUAUUUAUAAUGAUAUCUCAUGUUUAUUUUUAAACAACUUGACCUCU